rnacentral:rRNA from 1 species
UACGAGGGGGGCGAGCGUUGUUCGGAAUUAUUGGGCGUAAAGGGUGCGUAGGCGGUUUGGUAAGUCUUGUGUGAAAUCUACAGGCUCAACUUGUAGUCUGCACGAGAAACUGCCGGGCUUGAGUGUGGGAGAGGUGAGUGGAAUUCCUGGUGUAGCGGUGAAAUGCGUAGAUAUCAGGAGGAACACCCGUGGCGAAGGCGGCCUUCUGGGUCGACCCUGACGCUGAGGCGCGAAAGCGUGGGGAGCGAACGGG